rnacentral:tRNA from 1 species
GCGUUCAUAGCUCAGUUGGUUAGAGCACCACCUUGACAUGGUGGGGUGUCGUUGGUUCGAGUCCAAUUCGAACGCACCA